rnacentral:ncRNA from 17 species
GUUAACAAAAAGUUGCCUUGUGCUGUGAAAGGCUGCGUGGCGAGAAGAAAAAAACUUUUUGCCCGUAAGAGAAUCCCGUGAAAACCGGGAACGGUCCCGCCGCUGUAAGGGAGGACGAAACUGACAUGAACCAAUGCGAGAUAAGCGAUUCGAACUCUCGUGUGAAGGAGUCAGGAGUAGAAUGAUCCCCCAGUCAGAAGAACUGUGAGGUAGCUAAGGAAUACG